rnacentral:rRNA from 1 species
GACGAACGCUGGCGGCGUGCCUAAUACAUGCAAGUAGGACGCAGUUGCGAACGGGUGAGUAACGCGUAGGUAACUACCUAUUAGAGGGGGAUAACUAUUGGAAACGAUAGCUAAUACCGCAUACUAGUAGAUGGACCUGCGUUGUAUUAGCUAGUAGGUACGGUAAUGGCCUACCUAGUCAACGAUACAUUGCCGACCUGAGAGGGGGAUCGGACACACUUGGACUGAGACCCGGCCCAGAAUCCAACGGCAGGUAGCGGUAGGGAAUCAUCGGCAAUGGGGGGAACCCUGACCGAACAACGCCGCGGGGGUGAAGAAGGUUUUCGGAUCGUAAAGCGCUGUUGUUAAGGAAGCGGUACUUAACCAGAAAGGGACGGCUAACUACGUGCCAGCAGCCGCGGUAAUUC